rnacentral:rRNA from 1 species
AUUGAACGCUGGCGGCAAGCCUAACACAUGCAAGUCGAACGAGUGGCGGACGGGUGAGUAAUGUCUGGGAAACUGCCUGAUGGAGGGGGAUAACUACUGGAAACGGUAGCUAAUACCGCAUACCAUCGGAUGUGCCCAGAUGGGAUUAGCUAGUAUGUGGGGUAAAGGCUCACCUAGGCGACGAUCCCUAGCUGGUUUGUGAGGAUGACCAGCCACACUGUAACGGAGACACGGUCCAGACUCCUACGGGAGGCAGCAGUGGGGAAUAUAGCACAAUGGGGGCAAGCCUGAUGCAGCCAUGCCGCGUGUAUGAAGAAGGGCUUCGUGUUGUAAAGUACUUUCAGCGGGGAGGCGUUACCCGAAGAAGAAGCACCGGAUAACCCCGUGCCAGCAGCCGCGGUAAGAC